rnacentral:lncRNA from 1 species
AGCUACAGAACUUUUCAAUCGAAUUCAUAAAAAAUGUCCUUCAAAUCAUGUGCCAGGCCCUUCAACUAGCUUGCUCUUCUUGGUCCGUGUAACUAAUAUAAAGAAUUGAUGAGAAAACAAAGCAAAUGCAUUAAUCUCCAAAUCACAGACUCAUGGAUGCUCUGUUCAGUUCUAAAAAAACCACAACAUUCAAGUCUCUAAAUGGUAGCAGCACAUACAGCGGAAUUAACAAGAUAUAGGUGAAGCAGAAAAUGAAAAACUUAAGCUAGAUACAAAUUAGAGUCCAAAAAUCAAAGCUUUAGACAAAACAAAGUCGAAAAUACAAGAUCUGAGCGCUGAACCAAACUGAAACUCAGCCUUUGAGAUAACUAGAGUAAAGUAAGGCGGUGGCAGUGGCGAUAGAGGAGUUGCAGAUUCUGGGGACUCUGAAGAUGGUGAUGGUGAAAGCGGCGAUGGAGAAGAUGGCGAGGGUGGGGAUGUUAAUGGCAGAAGCGGUGCAGGCGAAUAUGGUGGGGAGAGAGAGAAGGUAAA